rnacentral:rRNA from 1 species
CAGCAAUGGAGAGUGGCAGACGGGUGAGUAACACGUGGGAACCUUCCCUUUGGUUCGGAAUAGCCCAGGGAAACUUGGGGUAAUACCGGAUAAGCCCUUACGGGGAAAGAUUUAUCGCCGAAGGAUGGGCCCGCGUCGGAUUAGCUAGUUGGUGGGGUAACGGCCUACCAAGGCGACGAUCCGUAGCUGGUCUGAGAGGAUGAUCAGCCACACUGGGACUGAGACACGGCCCAGACUCCUACGGGAGGCAGCAGUGGGGAAUAUUGGACAAUGGGCGCAAGCCUGAUCCAGCCAUGCCGCGUGAGUGACGAAGGCCUUAGGG